AUUGAACGCUGGCGGCAUACCUUACACAUGCAAGUCGAACGGCAGCACGGGAGCAAUCCUGGUGGCGAGUGGCGAACGGGUGAGUAAUGUAUCGGAACGUACCAUUGAGUGGGGGAUAACGUAGCGAAAGUUACGCUAAUACCGCAUAUACCCUGAGGGGGAAAGCAGGGGAUCGCAAGACCUUGUGCUCUUUGAGCGGCCGAUAUCAGAUUAGCUAGUUGGUGAGGUAAAGGCGCACCAAGGCGACGAUCUGUAGCGGGUCUGAGAGGAUGAUCCGCCACACGGGAGCUGAGACACGGUACAGGAUCCUACGGCAGGCAGCAUUGGGGAAUUUUGGACAAUGGGGGCAACCCUGAUCCAGCCAUGCCGCGUGAGUGAAGAAGGCCUUCGGGUUGUAAAGCUCUUUCGGCCGGGAGGAAAUCGCAUCAGCUAAUACCUGGUGUGGAUGACGGUACCGGAAUAAGAAGCACCGGCUAACUACGUGCCAGCCGCCGCCGUAAUAC
rnacentral:rRNA from 1 species